rnacentral:rRNA from 1 species
GAUGAACGCUGGCGGCGUGCCUAAUACAUGCAAGUCGAGCGAACAGAUGAGGAGCUUGCUCCUCUGACGUUAGCGGCGGACGGGUGAGUAACACGUGGAUAACCUACCUAUAAGACUGGGAUAACUUCGGGAAACCGGAGCUAAUACCGGAUAAUAUUUUGAACCGCAUGGUUCAAUAGUGAAAGACGGUUUUGCUGUCACUUAUAGAUGGAUCCGCGCCGCAUUAGCUAGUUGGUAAGGUAACGGCUUACCAAGGCAACGAUGCGUAGCCGACCUGAGAGGGUGAUCGGCCACACUGGAACUGAGACACGGUCCAGACUCCUACGGGAGGCAGCAGUAGGGAAUCUUCCGCAAUGGGCGAAAGCCUGACGGAGCAACGCCGCGUGAGUGAUGAAGGUCUUCGGAUCGUAAAACUCUGUUAUUAGGGAAGAACAAAUGUGUAAGUAACUAUGCACGUCUUGACGGUACCUAAUCAGAAAGCCGCGGCUAACUACGUG